rnacentral:sRNA from 1 species
GCUGGGCACGGUGGCACAUGCCUGUAAUCCCAGUGGCUCGGGAGGCUGAGGCAGGAGAAUCAAGAGUUCAAAGCCAGCCUCAGCAAAAGCAAGGUACUAAGCAAUUCAGUGAGACCCUGUCUCUA